AGUGUGAACUGUAGCACGUCCUGGUUCGUGAAAUUGAUGGAACGUUCUGAUUGGCUCGCGCAAAACACUCGGAAUUCGAAUUUGGCAAACCAAACGGAUACGCAAAAAAAGCAGUGAGGAACUUUUAAGUGACCAUUGCCAGGCAGAGUGAUGCCACCGACAGGGAGGGGAAUGGACAACAAAGGCCCCAAAAAAAUGGCACAAGAGGUGCAAAUAGAGAGGUCAACAUGCUAUUUUCCAAAUACUCUGAAGUGUUGAGUGAGAGGGCUGCAAUAGAUGCUUCACAAGUUAGGGAG